UACAGAGGUCCCAAGCGUUGUUCGGAUUCACUGGGCGUAAAGGGUGCGUAGGUGGCCAGGUAAGUUUGGUGUGAAAGCUCGGAGCUUAACUCCGAAAAGUCAUUGAAUACUGUCUGGCUGGAGGGUCGGAGGGGAGACUGGAAUUCUCGGUGUAGCAGUGAAAUGCGUAGAUAUCGAGAGGAACACCAGUGGCGAAGGCGAGUCUCUGGACGACUCCUGACACUGAGGCACGAAAGCUAGGGGAGCAAACAGG
rnacentral:rRNA from 1 species